AUGAACGCUGGCGGCGUGCCUAAUACCUGCCAGUCGAGCGCACGGACGAGAAGCUUGCUUCUCUGAUGUUAGCGGCGGACGGGUGAGUAACACGUGGAUAACCUACCUAUAAGACUGGGAUAACUUCGGGAAACCGGAGCUAAUACCGGAUGAUAUUUUGAACCGCAUGGUUCAAAAGUGAAAGACGGUCUUGCUGUCACUUAUAGAUGGAUCCGCGCUGCAUUAGCUAGUUGGUAAGGUAACGGCUUACCAAGGCAACGAUGCAUAGCCGACCUGAGAGGGUGAUCGGCCACACUGGAACUGAGACACGGUCCAGACUCCUACGGGAGGCAGCAGUAGGGAAUCUUCCGCAAUGGGCGAAAGCCUGACGGAGCAACGCCGCGUGAGUGAUGAAGGUCUUCGGAUCGUAAAACUCUGUUAUUAGGGAAGAACAUAUGUGUAAGUAACUGUGCACAUCUUGACGGUACCUAAUCAGAAAGCCACGGCUAACUACGUG
rnacentral:rRNA from 1 species